AUCUUUUUAGUAUCAACUAGUAUGAGUGACUUCCAAUCACCCGGCCUUGGUUAAAAUCCAAGAAAAGAUA
rnacentral:tRNA from 1 species